ensembl:lncRNA
CCCGCACCCCCACGCUCUUUGUCUACUUCUACCGGCGCUACUGCUGGCUGCUCGUGGCCGCCUUCUUCAACGUCAGCAAGCUCCCCGAGCGGAUCCAGCCGGGACUCUUUGACAUCGUGGGGCACAGCCACCAGCUCUUCCACAUCUUCACCUUCCUCAGCAUCUACGACCAGGUGCACUACGUGGAGGACGGGCUGGCCGCAUUCCUCAAGGCGCCCCCGGCAGCCCCCACCUAUCUGGGCACUGUGGGCUACAUGCUGCUCCUGAUGCUCUGCCUGGCCGUGGUGGUCCGCAGGUUCCUCAGCGCCAAAGACCUCUGCAAGCAGGACUAGCCAGGCCAGCAACCCUUGGACCAGCGACCCUCAGCCCGGCCCUACCACGUCUUGAAAAUGCUGCGAAACCAGGGGCAAACGCACCUGUGGAAAAGCCAGGUCCCUUUUGCGGAGAGCUGCCAGAGAAAAUGACCAUGGAGGAACUGCUCAUACUCCUUAAACUACUAGAUUACCAGGGGAAGCAAGCAAACGCUUACUGACUGACAAACCUAUGCCAACGUGAACCAGCUGAUGGGGUUAGUUUGCAGUGCUGGUGACACUGGGGACACUGACACUCCCCUCUGCAAUCCGUGUGUGCCUCGAAUUGCAGCCUGCACAUUGGCAUAUAAUGAGUACUCCUAGCUUCUGGUGGCUUUGGAGGGACCUGUCAGCUCCGAGCUCAUCUUUGUGGAGGAGCGAUAUACCUGGUGUGUAGAAAUGUUCUCAUGCUCCAUGGUGGUGGGCUACUUCUUCUUCUGCAGCGUAUUCAUCUGAAUGUCACUAUCCAGGGUAUCUGUGCGGCUCUGAACUGUUUUGCUAGCAAGACCAGCGUCUGCCGUCUGGAAACAAAGGAAAAGUUUCAAUCUGCAUGCUGCGAUUGUAGAAAUUCAGCAGUUAAACUAGAAACACUUACUGCUUUUUGCUAAUAGGAUAGUUUUGCUUAGUUGUUCAAGUGUCAUGCUUAUUAUUUGCUUGCUGAAUCCAGCUACUAUGUCCUGUUUUUGUCAACAGUGCCCCUGCAGAAAAUGAGAGUCUGGAAACUUUAUGUUUAAGUAAACUCUCUGAGGCAGCGCAUUCAUAAGGUAUCGUUGCACUUAACUCUGUUGAUUACCAUCCACAUGCCUUACAGAAGCAAGUCAUACCUGUAGUAAUUGCCCAGCUUAUACCACUUUUCAUUGCCUAUGAGAGUCAAAAUGACCAGGUGGCCUGUAACAAGCUGAGGAGUCAGGCACUCCUGGGAUCUGAUCCCUGCUUUGCCACUACCUGUUCUGUGAUCUAGGGCAAGUUGUUUAAGCUGUGUUCAUUUUGAAUGAACUUAAUUCAUGGAAAUCACUGGAAUUGUAUCAGGGUUGAAUCUGACCCUCUGUGUUUCAGUUUCCUCAUCUGUAAAAUGGGGAGAAUAUACCUUACCUACCUCGCAGGGUUGCUCUGAAGACUAGCUACUGUUCGUAAAGCACUUAAAAAUGCAAAGACCCUUCUAGGUGCUAAGAAGUAUUACUGAACUCCGGCAGAGAGAAUGUCAUAUUUUCCAUAGCUCCUCAUCUCCCAGAGAGAGGAACUCGACUGUUUCUAGAUCAAGAAAUCUUGGGACAAACCCUCGGCUGUCACAGUCUGAGAAGGUUCGUGUCCUGUGUCCUUUGAAGUCAAUGGCAAAACUUCCACUGGCUUCGGGAGAGGGCAGUCAAGUCCUAAACACUGUCAAUAAACAGGCUGACUAAAUGCA